UACAGAGGGGGCCAGCGUUAUUCGGAAUUAUUGGGCGUAAAGGGCGCGUAGGCGGCCAUGCGUGUCUUCCGUGAAAUCCCUCGGCUUAACUGAGGACGUGCGGAAGAAACUGCAAGGCUCGAGUCCGGGAGAGGGGGGUGGAAUUCCCAGUGUAGCGGUGAAAUGCGUAGAUAUUGGGAGGAACACCAGUGGCGAAGGCGGCUCACUGGACCGGAACUGACGCUGAGGCGCGAAAGCGUGGGUAGCAAACAGG
rnacentral:rRNA from 1 species